rnacentral:lncRNA from 1 species
CUCCCAAAGUGCUGGGAUUACAAAUGUGAGCCACCGCGCCCGGCCUGCAAUUUACUUUCAUAUUGUUCUCCAAAAAUAUAUAUAGGAGAGACAUAAACUAAGGCAAAAUGUGAACAUCUGGUGACCAUAGAUGAAGGGUAAGCAGCGUUCAAUAUACUGUUUUUCAACUCAUUUCCAUAGGUUUGUGUAUUUUCUAAUUAAAAGGUUGUGGCGGGAGAAGUUCAGGUGGAAAUAAAAAGGAGAGGGCAAACUAUAGGAUAAAUGAGACUUAAGGGACAUGGCAACCAAAUACAAUGUGGGGAUCUUGUUUGGUCCCUGUUGCACGCACACCAACUGGAGGAAAACACUGAUGAGACAAGCAGGGAGACUAAACACUGAUGGAGUGACUGAUGCAAUGAAAUAGGAAGGACAUGAGAGAAGACUGGCCAUAUGUUGAUAACUGGUCAUGUGUAUAUGAGGAUCGAGUAUAUUAUUCCAUCUACUUUUGCAUGCUUGAAAAUUUCCCUAGUAAAAAACUGGGCGUCAAGUUAAAAUUACAUGCAAUGUCUGACUUUCUCAGUGAGUGACUGACUGGCUGAAGAGAUAUCUAAAUAUAUCUCUAUGGUUCUCUAUUAUUAAAUAAAGAAUUACACAAAAGAAUAAGUUGUGAAAUCAAGAUUAGCCCCUGAGUUUCUCUUAUAAUAGUGAUUUUAAAUGAAUUUGAGCGGGGGUUGUGGGAGGUGAAGGUUAUAUGGAAUUAAUUAUCUUUCUAUUUUUUCCCUUUUAUUUUCAUUCUCUCAAUUUCCCUAAUGCAUGAGGCUCCUGACCACCAUAAAGAUAGAACUGGGGCUUAACCCUCAUCACUUCUGAAGCUGAUGGAAUGAAGGAAAUAGGAUUCAAAUAAAACAAAACAAACAGUGAAU